CUAGGAACAAUAGCCGUCAUGUAGGUAAUCACUUUGAGUAGUUUUCCUUAUGCACCACCAUAUGAAAUUAUGGAUGACUUAAUAUAAGUCAGGUGGGUUUGAUAUGGACUUGUUGGUUUCAAAGGUUCUGGUGGAUGACAUCUUGAAGAUGGUUUGGUUGUUUGAUGUUUUUCGACCUUGCUUUCCCCGUUUAAAUUAAUUCGUGUAACUCGUUUAUGAUUUGGUUGGACAACAUACCUGCCGGUGAGGGUAAGGUAGAAGAAGCAUAGCUUAAUAUGCUUUGCGGUUAAGGUAAGGUGGAAGAAACAUGGGUGUUGUCAAAUUCAUAGUAGACGAAUUUACACAUGUCCUGGCAAAGAAGGUAAGGUAGACGAUAAUAGAUGUCUACUUCUUUGCAAGGAAGGUAAGAUAGAUAGUAUAUACUUUCAUUUUUCAAUCAUGCAAGACCCUCUUCGCAGAAGCAGAGAGUGUUAUCAUCAUUAUAUAAUGAUAAUUUUAGAGGUUUAUAGUAUAAGAAAUAAACACAUUUAUAUACAUAUUUUUAGUGUAUGUCUUUUAAUUCGGUGUUGUCAAA